AGUGUGUAGCGUGAUGGGACAACGGAAUGGAAGUUAAGGACAGCGAUUGUUGGAAUGACUUUACGGAACAGAGAUAAAGCACAAGAACUGAAAGAAUACAGAGGGAAGAAUUAAGUGAAGAAGAAAAUGAGGGAAGUUGCAAGAGGAGCCACCGCCCUGAAAUGGCUGCAGCUCAGAACCCGUGAUCCGGUGUGGCGUGUGGGGGUGAAAAAGGAAUAUUACAGGCGGGAUGUUAGUGUGGGAACAUUUACAUUGCUGGAACUUGGGAACACGCCGCGAGCCACUCAGCCACACAGCACAGCCUCACGCACAGCACACACACUCCACAGCCCACAGCCGAUGCCACGUCCUUCACCUGAGUCCCGGGGUCACUGCACUCUAUGGUGACUCUAUAGUGAUGCGUGCAUAGUGGAGCGCGUCCUGCAUUUGUGUGGUGUGUGGUGCGUCCGGAAGGGAAAGGAAGGAAAAAUAGUGUUGAAUGGUGUGUAUGGUGUGUGGUGACUCGCUAUAAUGAUUUAGGACUGUAGGGUAAGACAGCUCCCUCCUCCUCCUCCUCCUCCUCCUACUCCUACUCCUCUACAGUCAGCCUUUCACUCAGCGUUCACCUGCCCUGAGGCUCUACCGUGGACUCCUUCACCAGCCUCACUCACUCUCUUCUCCGUCUGCUGCUGCCGCUGGUUGCCCACAUCACCGCGUCACCACCACCACCACCACCAUUGUCAUUAUCAUCUUUUCCAUACCCGUACAGGAGUGCAUUUCGUCACCAUCAAGUUUUUUCAUCAUUAUAAUUCAUUGUACUUAAUUAAGGUCAUUGUAAAUUACUGCCAUCAUCACCAUAACUAUUUAGCCUCGUCACUAUCAUUAUCGUCAUAACUGUGUAUAUACUUACUUGAAUCAUCGCCAUCAUUAUCAUCACUACCACCACCAUCACCAUCACCACCACCACCACCAUCCUGUCCUAAUAAAGGCACUAUACUAAACCAUACAAAACUAUACACGUAAUACUCUCAUCACCACCACCAUUCCCCAUCACCCUGACACACACACACACACACACACACACACACACACACACACACAGCGGCAUAUACUCUAACUUUCCUCCCCUAAGCACACACCAUCGCUGCUGUUGUUUAGCAGUUGCACCGCGAUGAAAUGAUAACCUUCUUUGCCAACCUAGGAACAAGAGAGAGAGAGAGAGAGAGAGAGAGAGAGAGAGAGAGAGAGAGAGAGAGAGAGAGAGAUUUAGAGGAGGAAACUGAGCGGUGAAAUAUCAAUGGGAGAAAGAUUCAUGUGGUUUAGUAUUAAUGAGAACACUUCAACGUUAUAUAACAUCACUAGUAGAGGGCUUUAUAAUAUAUGUAACAGAAUUUGGCGCCUUUUGAACAUCACUUAUGGAAGAAGGUGGUGACUUUUUUGUUAGCCACUGUUAGGUUUUUAUUUAUACCAGUUCUAUAAUAUUUAUUUAUUUAUUAUAUAAUAUUUGUCACUAGUAAUGUUGUGAUUGCCUUUGCAUCUUUAUUAGUAUUGUGGUAUAUAGUUAGAAGGAUAUAGGGUUGUACAUACAUACUUCGUUACUAUAAGGGAUGACUUAACGCUGUAAUACGAAAACUGACUUACACCACAUAAUGAUUUAACCCUUUCACUUGUAAUUGAUCUUUCCCCAUAACCAUCUACAAGUUUUUAAAAGGUCUACUUUUGUACUACAGUCUCUAGAAUGCGUGCACAUCUGUACCUUGGCAAAAAUA